CACAUGCACCCAUACGCGUUGAUAAGUGCGUAUAUUGUGCAUGCAUACACUUAUACAUGCCUUCUUUAUACACUGAAAUAUAUGAUCAUAUAAACAUAUAUUAACAGUUUAUAUAUAAAUAUAUAUAAUUAGUGUGUCUAUAUAUAUACUGAUAUGUUUAUACGUGUAUGUUUAAACUAGCUAUCAGUUAUAUGUUUAAACUAGCUAUCAGUUAUAUAUACAUUGAAAUGCGCACACAUAUGCAUCCUUACGCAUUGAUAGCGCAUAUAUACAUUUUUAUGUACAUUGAUAUAUAUGAAUAUAUAUACACUUAUUAUCAAUUUCUACUGUUAUUAGCGUACACGUACAUUACUGUGUAUAUGAAUGCACAGGUGGCUAUUGCAGCCAAUAAGGUAAAUCGACAUAUCCCCCCACCCCUCCGUUUUGAUUAUUUUCCUCUCAAUUCUUUCCAUUCGAAUCAUUAUCUUCCAUUUGAAUGAUUUUUCCUUAUACAAUUUUCCAAACUGUGAUAAAUUCAGACCUUAAAGGAUUAUUUGCUCUAGCUAUCACCUCUAAUCAGAUAAGCCUAGGCGAAAUUCUAUAUUAAUUUGUAUAGAAUUAGGCAUAAAAAUGGGUUUCUUCUCUUGGUGAAUUGGGUAUGCUAAAUACCCAAUUGUGAUAGUCCAUCUAAAUUGUCUUAUUUGUACUUGUUUUUAUUAUUAUUGAUGAGCUUCAUCUUCAUCGAGUUUUCUUGUAAAGCAACAAGCAUUAAAGCAACUUAUCAUCGAGAUGGAUCUCUUUACAUUAUUCGAUAUUUGUGAUCUUGAUCUUGCAAGCUUGAUUUGAUUAAUGAUUCUUUCUUCUCUAGUAUCGUACUUAUCUUGCUUCUUUCAUGCAAAAAUGGAGUGAAUUUUCUGAAACUUUACUUGUGGUUUGCAAUUUUAUUAAGUAAAUUUUUUUUAAUACACACACACUCUUUAUUAAGUAACUUUUUCUUAACACACACACACUCUAUCUUCUUUCAUGCAAAAUAUGGAGUGAAUUUUCAAGAGUAUUACUUGUGGUUUGCAAUUGUAUUAAGUAACUUUUUCUUAACACACACCACAUACACACACACACACACACUCACACUCACAUUCACACUCACACUCACACUCACUCUCACUCUCACUCUUUCUCACCCUCACACUCAUACUCACACUCACACUCACUCUCACACUCAGACACACACACACACACUCACACUCACACGAACACGAACACACACUCACACUCACACUCACACACACUCACACACACGUACUCAUACACACACACGCUCACUCUCACACAUUCACGCUCAUGCUCACAUUCACACUCAGAUAUAUAGUACACUUAUACACAUGUUGUGUAUGGACUGAUGUGUGUAUAUAUACUAUGAUAUGUUUAUGAGUUUAUAUAUACAGUUAUUUGCUAUCAGUUAUAUACAAUUAUCAAUGUAUGUAUAUAAUGAUACGUGCACGCACAUGCACCCUUACGCAUUGAUAAGUGCGUAUGUACGAUAUAUGUUUGCACUAAUACAUG
rnacentral:lncRNA from 1 species